UGGGGAAUUGUUCACAAUGGGCGCAAGCCUGAUGACGCAACGCCGCGUGGGGGAUGAAGGUCUUCGGAUUGUAAACCCCUGUCGAAUGGGACGAAAGACUCGCGAGUUAAUACUUCGCGGGAGUGACGGUACCGUUAAAGGAAGCCACGGCUAACUCUGUGCCAGCAGCCGCGGUAAUACAGAGGUGGCAAGCGUUGUUCGGAAUUACUGGGCGUAAAGGGCGCGUAGGCGGCCUACUAAGUCAGACGUGAAAUCCCCCGGCUUAACCUGGGAACUGCGUCUGAUACUGGAAGGCUUGAGUAUGGGAGAGGGAUGUAGAAUUCCAGGUGUAGCGGUGAAAUGCGUAGAUAUCUGGAGGAAUACCGGUGGCGAAGGCGGCAUCCUGGACCAUUACUGACGCUGAGGCACGAAAGCGUGGGGAGCAAACAGGAUUAGAUACCCCGGUAGUCCCUGAGCGGGCUGGCAAGGCGCAU
rnacentral:rRNA from 1 species